CCCCUUGUAGCCCAAUUGGCAGAGGCAGCGGUUUAAGACGCCGUCCAGUAUCAGUUCGACUCUGAUCCAGGGGACCA
rnacentral:tRNA from 1 species